CCUGCCCUAUGGUUCUAAUACCUUUUAUAAAUAGAAGUGAAACUAGAACUAAAUGGCCGCGGUAACUCUGACCGUGAUAAUGUAGCGAAAUCAAUUGUCGUUUAAUUGACGACCAGUAUGAAUGGUUAAACGAAUUUUCCACUGUCUCCGUGAUAAACUUAAUGAAUUUAAAAUAAUAGUGAAGAUGCUAUUUAAUAAUUGUAAGACGAGAAGACCCUAUAGAGCUUAACUAUAACCUUUAACUAAAUGACGAUAAUUUAUCUGUCAGUAUUAAAGGUUGGUAGUUUGGUUGGGGCGACCAUCUUCUAAAUGUAACGAAGAUAAACAAUGAUAGAUAAAAAUUAUUAAUUUGACUGUAUAAUAAAUAUAUUUAACAGGUAUUAAAAUAGGUAAAUUGACCCGUUUAUUUUGAAUAAGAAAAAUAACGAUUAAUAAAUAAAAGCUACCUUAGGGAUAACAGCGUAAUCUUAUUUAAGAGUUCUUAUCG
rnacentral:rRNA from 1 species